rnacentral:sRNA from 1 species
UAUUUAGGAAUUUAGAAGAUUGUUAGAAGAGCAAAAGUCAA